AAAUUGAAGAGUUUGAUCAUGGCUCAGAUUGAACGCUGGCGGCAGGCCUAACACAUGCAAGUCGAACGGUAACAGGAAGCAGCUUGCUGCUUCGCUGACGAGUGGCGGACGGGUGAGUAAUGUCUGGGAAACUGCCUGAUGGAGGGGGAUAACUACUGGAAACGGUGGCUAAUACCGCAUAACGUCGCAAGACCAAAGAGG
rnacentral:rRNA from 6 species